UCAAAAUUUGAGGAAAAAAUAGGUUUUAUAAUAAUAUGUUAAUUAAUUUUCAUUAAGCAACAAAUUUUCUAGGUAAAAUUUUAUUUUCAUGUCAGAUUUGUGCAGAAAGGCUGAUUUUAAAAACCAAUCUCCACAAACAUUUGAUUGAAUAAGUUUCAAACCAUACACAUUACACCUACCGGUAUAUCAUGUAUGUUGAAAAUAUAACUGUUAAUAUAUUUCCUUAUCAUAAAACACUGCAACAUUUAUCACCCAUCAUACUGCAAUUGAAAUUCACUGAACUUUCAAAUUAAAGGCUGAACUAUUUUCUGAUAGUUUUUUCUCAACACUUUCCCAAAGUUAUUUCCUUGAAUUUUGAAGUAUUUGCUAUCAUAUAAAAUAGGUGACCAACAUAAGAAAUAGGUUUUCAACUCUAUGUCCCACUUUUUCUUCAUUAUUUUGAAAACCACUCAAAUAUAGAACAAUCUGAAUGUCCAAUUAUUUUGACUAAGUUGGAAUAGGUAAAGGUAAAGGUAAUUUUUAUUUACCUUUGCUUUGUGAAACAAUUAACAUAAGCUCCGUAGAGCUUUUUAGCGACCCUUUUUUCAAGAACAGUUAAAUACACAGAGCUAACUUAAUUCUGUUUUACUGUUACAGUAAAUAAUAAUUAAAGACACUGAUUCUGGUGUGCCUGGUAUGUGGCCUAUGGGGAUGAUAAGGUCUGGUAUUGGAGAUUGGUACUUGAAAGUCAAUGGUUGAUCAUGAUGACCAUCUUUAAUUUAAUGGGGAAAGAUUAACCAAAUUUGCAGCUGGAGAGGCUAUCACCACAGUUCAAUGAUUUAGGUCAGCCAUCAGCUUUUGAAGUUGCUUUCUUGGCACAUCAUGCUGUCCAGUGGAGUUCAUACCAUAUGCCAGGCCUUUAUACAUGGUCAAAGAAGAUGAAUUUGUUAUUCAAUUUGUGAAAUUUGAUUUAAGGAGGAUUUUCAUAUAUGAUGAUUAUAUUCAGCAGAUUAUCUUCAAGUGUGCACUUCAUAGAAUCACAGUUUCUAGGAGGUUUUCAGUUUAAAGUUAGAUUAAUUGAAAAAUAAGUAAACCUAUCAUACUCAUGGCAUCGGCAUUGGCAUUACACCAGUUUUAAGUUUUUCUUACCAGUCCAUAUUUUAAAAGGACCUUUUGAAAGUAUUGAAACUUACAACAGUAAUUUAUCAUCAUUAUACCAUGUUUUAGGCAAAAGUACAUAACUCUAUCAAGGAUUUGACUGAACUAUGGCCCUUUGAAACUUUUGUCACUUGUUUAUUAUAAUAGUCUCUAUAGGCAAGAUUUAAUAACACUGUAAUUUGGUUGAAUUAUGUCCCUUUUGGACUUUGAAAUUGGUUCAGUUUUUGUACAAGUCCACAUUUUGACAUAUAGCUUUGAAUCUUUCAACACUAAGUCUUACCAUUACAAUGAUAUAACUUAAAAUAGUUGUUCAACAUCAUCACCCACGUCAUAUGACACAAGAUGCAUAACUCUUGCACCAAAAUUUAAUAAAUUAUGCCCUUUUUUGCUUAAAAUGUACUUGUAUAGUGUUUUGAUACACUUUAUCUCUCAUAUUACAUAAUAUUUUAAAACAGACUUAGUUAUUAUGCAAUAUCUUCAUCUGCCAUUGGAGCCAUUAGUUGGUGUUUAGAUCCUAUAAUUGUAAAACAUAAAAUAAGUGUUGAAAGUUUCAUAAAAGAUCGUUUCUUUAAUAUGAUUUUCCAUAUAGAUCUAACUCCCAUCCAGUUUAAACCCAUCCAGUUUGUUAAACACUUCUUGAAAAAUAUUUUUAAAGAGUCUUAGAGUUUCAUACCCGAUAACUAUAAUUGAGCCGCGCCAUGAGAAAAUCAACGUAGUGGGUU